AUUGAACGCUAGCGGCAUGCCUUACACAUGCAAGUCGAACGGAGUGGCGGACGGGUGAGGAAUGUAUCGGAACGUGCCCAGUAGCGGGGGAUAACUACGCGAAAGCGUAGCUAAUACCGCAUACUAUUAGAGCGGCCGAUGUCGGAUUAGCUAUGUGGUGGGGUAAAGGCCCCCCAAGGCGACGAUCCGUAGCUGGUUUGAGAGGACGACCAGUCACACUGUGACUGAGACACGGCCCAGAAUCCGACGAGAGGCAGCAGUGGGGAAUUUUGGACAAUGGGGGAAAUCCUGAUCCAGCCAUGCCGCGUGUGCGAUGAAGGCCUUCGGGUUGUAAAGCACUUUUGGCAGGAAGGCGGUACCUGCAGAAUAAGCACCGGCUAACUCCGUGCCAGCAGCCGCGGUAAUAC
rnacentral:rRNA from 1 species